GGUAAAACAGGACAUAAUGCAUGUACCUUAAGUGUCGUUCUGUACAGACUGCACAGGACCCUGAGGUAAAACAGGACAUAAUGCAUGUGCCUUAAGUGUCGUUCUGUACAGACUGCACAGGACCCUGAGGUAAAACAGGACAUAAUGCAUGUACCUUAAGUGUCGUUCUGUACAGACUGCACAGGACCCUGAGGUAAAACAGGACAUAAUGCAUGUGCCUUAAGUAUCGUUCUGUUCAGACUGCACAGGACCCUGAGGUAAAACAGGACAUAAUGCAUGUGCCUUAAGUGUCGUUCUGUACAGACUGCACAGGACCCUGAGGUAAAACAGGACAUAAUGCAUGUGCCUUAAGUGUCGUUCUGUACAGACUGCACAGGACCCUGAGGUAAAACAGGACAUAAUGCAUGUGCCUUAAGUGUCGUUCUGUACAGACUGCACAGGACCCUGAGGUAAAACAGGACAUAAUGCAUGUGCCUUAAGUGUCGUUCUGUACAGACUGCACAGGACCCUGAGGUAAAACAGGACAUAAUGCAUGUGCCUUAAGUGUCGUUCUGUACAGACUGCAAUGUGCCUUAAGUGUCGUUCUGUACAGACUGCAAUGUGCCUUAAGUGUCGUUCUGUACAGACUGCAAUGUGCCUUAAGUGUCGUUCUGUACAGACUGCAAUGUGCCUUAAGUGUCGUUCUGUACAGACUGCACAGGCUAAUCUUGGGCCAAACUUAACCCACAUGCAUUAAGGCCCUGUUUUUCAUAGCAAGGCUUAAAAUAUUGACGGU